rnacentral:rRNA from 1 species
UGGGUAACCUGCCUCAAAGAGGGGAAUAGCCUCCCGAAAAGGGAGAUUAAUACCGCAUAAUAUGUUUAAGUCGCAUGACUUUAACAUCAAAAGGAUUUUUCUUUUAGAAAAUUCCACUUUGAGAUGGACCCCGCGGCGCAUUAGCUAGUUGGUGAGGUAACGGCUCACCAAGGCAACGAUGCGUAGCCGACCUGAGGAGGGUGAUCGGCCACAUUGGAACUGAGACACGGUCCAGCUCCGUAGGAGG